ACGCGAGGAACCUUACCAGGUCUUGACAUCCUCUGACACUCCUAGAGAUAGGACGUUCCCCUUCGGGGGACAGAGUGACAGGUGGUGCAUGGUUGUCGUCAGCUCGUGUCGUGAGAUGUUGGGUUAAGUCCCGCAACGAGCGCAACCCUUGAUCUUAGUUGCCAGCAUUUAGUUGGGCACUCUAAGGUGACUGCCGGUGACAAACCGGAGGAAGGUGGGGAUGACGUCAAAUCAUCAUGCCCCUUAUGACCUGGGCUACACACGUGCUACAAUGGGUGGUACAAAGGGCAGCAAAACCGCGAGGUCGAGCCAAUCCCAUAAAACCAUUCUCAGUUCGGAUUGUAGGCUGCAACUCGCCUACAUGAAGCCGGAAUCGCUAGUAAUCGCGGAUCAGCAUGCCGCGGUGAAUACGUUCCCGGGCCUUGCACUCACCGCCCGU
rnacentral:rRNA from 1 species